rnacentral:misc_RNA from 1 species
AUGGCAAUGCUGGCAGGUGGUUCAUGCCAUACCUUAAACAGCAGUCCAGGCACAGCGACUACAUCCAAGCCAGGCAAACCUUUUGUAACGCCAAAGAACUGGAUAUGAGGUAAUUUAUUUCGAUUGGACUGCUUCGAGUUUCUGCAACAUUUGUAUCAUUUCUGUUAUUUAGCUUGCUCACUAUUAUGUAUUUGAGAAGCUGUUCUCUUUCAUUUGUUUGAGUCAUUUUCGACUCAAACUUUAUACUGUUAAUAUAUAGUGGUAAUAAUGUG